GGGAUUUCCCCUUUCUAAACAUUUCACUCAUUUGAUUCUGUAUGUUGAUGGAAUGAAAUUUGCAACCCUACCUACCCACCUUGUUCCUCUCUCUCACACAACCCAAACAACCACCGGCCUCACGACACCCCCUGAGAUCCGAACCCCUACGCCCUUGCAACUUCAUCGCUACAGUUCCCCAUAGCCGAUGAUGAUGAUGAUGGUCAUCCAGAUCCGCAAGUAGAAGUGGUAGCCAUCCAGAUCCGCAACUUCAUCACAGGCGUUCGACCACCGUUGGCCACCACCCCUCUACUUUAUCGCCGCCCACCUCACCCCAAACCGACACCACCACUGGUAGCCAUCCAGAUCCGCAAGUAGAAGUGGCGGCGACACAUUAGAAGAUUCGAGUUCUUGAGCAAAGGUGAUGAUAACAAGGAAGGCAGAAGCAUGGCAAUAAACGACAAAUACAUAGCUGCUCAUUCCAUAUGAAGAGAUUGAAUCAGCCACCAACAACUUUGC
rnacentral:lncRNA from 1 species